UUGUACUUUUUAAAAAUAUCGACAAGCGUGUGUCGAUAGGGGUGGACAGUUUGUAUUUCGGUUCGAUUUUAAUUUUUUGGAUUUUUGGUUCUUGUAAAAUGUGUACCGAAUAUCGAACUAAAAUAUUUUGGUUCAAUUCAGUUUUUAUUAUUUUGAUUCGGUUUUUAGUAAUUCGAUUCGGCUUUUUUAUUUUGGUUUUUUAAUGAGCCUACUUAGUGGUCUUUUUAAAUUUUUAAACUUAACAAGUUUUUUGUUUGAUUUUUCAACUUAAUGGGCUAAAAAUAGACAAUAGUUACAUCAAAGAAGUGCAUUGUAAUUACAUCAAAGAAGUGCAUUACUACCAAAUAUAAAUAUAUCAAUAUGACAUUAGGCAUUAACACCACAAAUUUUAAAUUCAUAAUGUCACUAAAACACACAAUUUUUAAUUAACAAUAUCACUAAAACAAAAGUGCAUUGUAGUUAAUGUCUUCACAAAUACCACAUAAUAACAAUCUAACAAGUAACAAUACAGUCUUCCAUGAGAGUUGAGACCACUUUCAAGUUUCAACUUUCGAGAAUUCUAGUGCCAACAUAAUAAACAAUAAUGAGCAACAAACAAUGUAUUUUAAACUUCUUGUUUUCUUCCAUAAGAUCACGUUCAAUUCAAAUGUAAACAAUAACAAACAAAAAUAGUGAGUUUUCUUGACCUUCUUCCAUGAGACCGCUUUCAACUUUCAAGUGUCACAUGCCAACAAAAUUACUAAUAAAACUUAGUACUGUACGUCUUCUUCAUUGUCUUGACUCUUGGACCUUUUAAGAUAAAAUCAAAUGUUAUAAUACUACUUUUAAGAUUAAAAAAUGAUAUGAUUAAAUAAAUGAUGUAUUGAACUCACCCCUUGCAAGUCAAUCAUAUAUCAACAGUGGAAGAGUUUCUUCCACUAUUUUCCAUCUCUAUAAAUAAGAAAAACAAACAUGUCAUACAAGAUACAACACAAAAAGUAUUUUAUUUUUUCCAAAAAUAAAUAAAAAUUAAAAAAUCUUAUCAAGUUCAAUUUUUUCAAGAAACUCCAAACUUUCUUCAACACAAAUAGACUUAGUUUCUUAUCUAAAUCAAUCUUGGACACAAAUAAGACAUUGCACACAUUUGGGAGUCAAUAAACUUCUAAAGGGAUCUAGAAUACGAUCACCGGUGCUAAAUGCACAUUCCCAUGACACACUCGACAUAGGAAUAGCCCAUACAUCUCGAGCCAACUGUGAAAUUAUAGGAAAUCUAGGAGAAUUAACUUUUCACCAACUCAAACUAUCAAAAUCUCCAGAUUCAGGCUCUUGGUCUUCAAGAAGAUAUUUAUCCAACUCAGAUUUAACACCUAAACUUCCAGAAUCUUGCUUUUGUUUCUUCAAGAGCAACUUAGUUCUAAAAGAAUUUUUGGACACAUUUUGAGAAAUACCACAAGCAAAAGAAUCAGAUGAGUCAGAUGAAGAUGGUUGGUUUUUAGAAUAUUUUUCAUACUUACUUAUAUAUAUCACAAACAAAUCCCUCAAGUAAGCCUCUACUUUCGUAUUCACUACAUUUUUUGUUUCUUCCCCAAGUAAAUUUUCAAGAGCAAAACUAACAUACACAAAUUUAUUGCGAGGAUCCAAAACAGAAGCAAUAAAAAUCAUUUUGUUCAUUUUUUUCAAGAUUACCCCAAUAUUUCUUGAUUUUUUCAUUCAUUCCUGAAGCCAUUUUACUCAAAUCAAGGUCAUCACUUGCUAUACAUAAUUUCAAAUAAGCAUCAAGUUCACAUAUAUGCUCAAAAUGAACAUUGCAAGUAACAGAAGCAAUAAAAAAUUUCAAGAGCAAAACUAACAUACACAAAUUUAUUGCGAGGAUCCAAAACAGAAGCAAUAAAAAUCAUUUUGUUCAUUUUUUCAAGAGUACCCCAAUAUUUCUUGAUUUUUUCUUUCAUUCCUGAAGCCAUUUUACUCAAAUCAAGGUCAUCACUUGAUAUACAUAAUUUCAAAUAAGCAUCAAGUUCACAUAUAUCCUCAAAAUGAACAUUGCAAGUAACAUACCGUGAACCUGAAACAUUCAAAGUGAGCUCAUAAAAUUUUUCAAGAAACUUUGUAACAUUCCUCAUAUUAUUCCAAUCUUCAUAUUGAAUUGAACAUGCUAUAGUUCCACCUGCACAAACAUCAGUAGCAAGAAAAGAAUUAAAAUUACCAUCAUAAAGAUCAAACCUCUCAAAAGCCUUCUCAAACUUUUCUGCUGUGUCAAACAUCAAAUAGGUGGAAUUCCACCUAGUAGGAACAUCUAAAGACAACAUCUUAUCACAUUCUAUAUUUUGCAUUUCAACACUUUUCAAGAAGUUUCUUGUCCUUGAAGAAGAUGAUCUAACAUAUUUCACCAUUUGUCUCACCAGUUUGAUAGAAGUACCAAUUUCUUUCAAAUCAUAUUGCACAAUUAAAUUAAGUAUAUGAGUCAUACAUAUCACAUGGAGAUUAUUACCUUCCAUCAUAUUAGUUUCCCACAUAUCUAAUUUUUUGGACAACUCCAAAACUGCCACAUUAUAAGAAGAGGCAUUAUCAACCGUAACAAUAAAAACAUUAUCCAACUUCCAAUCAAGUAAACAAUUAUUAAUAGACUCAGUCAAAUACUCACCUUUAUGACUAUCUAUAGGACAAAAAUUUAAUAUUCUUUUAUGAAGCACCAAAUCCCUAUCAAUAAAGUGAGCAGUCAAACACAUAUAAUUGAUUCUUUGCAUUGAAGUCCAUGUGUCUAUUGUGAGACAAAUUCUUAGUUGUACUUCUCUUAAAGAUUGUUUCAAAUUUAUUUUCAAUUCACCAAAAACUUCAUAACAAUCCCUUGUUAUGGUUCUACGAGAAGGAAUAUGAAACAAAGGUUGACUCAUAAGCUUCUUAAAGCCUUCUUUUUCAACAAAACUAUAAGGUAGUUCAUCCAAAAUUAUCAUUUCAACUAAAUCUCUCCUACAUACGUCUUGCUCAAAUUUCCAAGUGUUUAAACUUUUAGUUUGAAUAUUUAAUAAUUCUUUAAUACCAGAUGCAACAGUCGGGGGCUUAUACACUUUACACCAAUAAGUCAAAUGUAGUUUUAGUCCAGUUGUUCCAUUUCUACUUGUAUUGGCAGCAUAGUAUUGUUUACAAUGUAAACACUUUGCUUUAACUAAUACACCAAUUUCAAAAAUCUUUUCAAAGUGUUGCCAAACAGGAGAUCUAGGAUCCAUUUCUUUUUUUUUUUGUUAUUUCUGUUCCAAUUGACGGGUCAUUGCUAUUAAUAGGGGUAUUAUUCGUAGAUUCAGCCAUACUUAUUUGACUUUGAUCAGCUACACCCAUAUUUAAUUGAUUUUGUUCAGCCAUCUAUAUUAAAAACAAUUAUUUCACAACAAAUUCACACUAAGCAAAUAUCAGAAAGAAAAAAUGAAAGAACAAUAAAGAAAAACAAACCUGAUUAGUGGUCAGCUGGUCGCCGGUCGCUGGUCGCCGGUCGCUGGUCGCCGGUUGCUGGCCGUCUGAAGACUCUGAACUCGCUGACGGCUAGCCUCUGAGUUCACUGCCCGUCUUAACUCGCUGCCCGCUUCUUGAAAGAAUGAAGAAUGAAUAAAAUUGAAAGGAACUUGGAAGUAUGGAACAUGGAAGAAUGAAUUGAGGAAGAUGAAUUAUUCUCACUUUUCAUAUUAGGGUUUCUAUUUUCUAUAAAGUAGUAUAAAG
rnacentral:lncRNA from 1 species